AGCGAACGCUGGCGGCAGGCCUAACACAUGCAAGUCGAGCGCCCCGCAAGGGGAGCGGCAGACGGGAGAGUAACACGUGGGAACGUACCCUUCAGUUCGGAACAACCCAGGGAAACUUGGGCUAAUACCGGAUACGUCCGUAAGGAGAAAGAUUUAUCGCUGAAGGAUCGGCCCGCGUCUGAUUAGCUAGUUGGUGAGGUAACGGCUCACCAAGGCGACGAUCAGUAGCUGGUCUGAGAGGAUGAUCAGCCUCACUGGGACUGAGACACGGCCCAGACUCCUACGGGAGGCAGCAGUGGGGAAUAUUGGACAAUGGGCGCAAGCCUGAUCCAGCCAUGCCGCGUGAGUGAUGAAGGCCUUAGGGUUGUAAAGCUCUUUCGCCGGUGAAGAUAAUGACGGUAACCGGAGAAGAAGCCCCGGCUAACUUCGUGCCAGCCGCCGCAGUAA
rnacentral:rRNA from 1 species